AUGCUCUGGUUUUUCUUCAGAAUGAACAAAUCUUUCACCUUUUACUAAAGAUUUCCACAGAGAGGAGAAAAACUGAGUUUUAUCUCUAUUUUUGCUUGCCCCAUCUUAUUGGGGUU